rnacentral:misc_RNA from 1 species
GUUACGUCUCCUCACACCUGCCGCGAAGUUGUGUUGCCAUGGCGAGCGCGAGGGCCCUCGUGGCGGGUUGAAGAAGGCUGCCAUUACCCUAAUUGAAGCUUGAAAGAUGGCAACAACUUGUUCGUCAGAGCGGCAGAAACUGUAAUUUGGGUGCACCAGGUCGUGGAGAUCUGGAGAAAAAAUCUACUUAUAAUACCAACGAGUUUAGCCGUCACUUGAAAGACCCUCAGAAGAUCGGGAUUUACUUAAAAGCUUUUGGCUGAAAAUAUUCUCAUUUGAGAAAGAGAAAAACAAUUUUGGGGGAAUUCAGAAGAUUCCUGGCCGUUCUAUCAGUUAUUGCUGUGUAUCUCGGUGGUAUCUCAGUUCUAGGGUUUUACCUCAGCAGUGGUGUGGACUACAAUCUCCGGGUGCCAAGCGUGCAUGGCGUUCUCGUGUUUCCGUGAUAUUCUAAUCAAGUUGUGGAUAAACAGACUGUUAAUAUGAAAACAACCACAUUAACUUGUGUAUUCAGGUUGUCACUGCAGAUACUGUGUCUACUUCUUCAGUGAGGAUAGAAAGGGUAAUAGUUCGUCAUAAUCCAAGAAUGGCGGGGGGCGAGGAGAACGGUCGACUCACCUCUGGGGGACGAGACAUGAAUAUUCUGGUCCUGGGAAUGGACGGAGUCGGGAAAACAGCUCUGAUAGUUCGUUACAUUACGAAGAGAUACAUUGGGGACUACGACCCGUACUCGGAAGCAAUGUACACCUCUAACUCCGUGAUUGACGGCAAACCAGUAACCUUGCGGGUGAUAGACACAGUCGGUUUGGAGAAGAACAGCAAAAGGUCAGAGCAGAUAACGUGGGCCGAUGGGUUCGUGCUGGUUUUCUCUCUCACCUGCAGGAAAAGUUUUGAAGCCGUGAAAAGAAUCAAAGAACACAUCAAUGAACUUAGGCAAGACACAAAGAUACCCAUGAUACUUGUCGGAAAUAAAGCGGAUUUGUCUCACGCCCGCGCGGUCAACCCGGUAGAAACCCGAGGCCUUGCCACGGACUUGCAGUGCCCGAUGUUUGAAACGUCUGCCAGUGAUAACUACGGCAGUGUUGUGAACGCCUUUCACGCCCUCUAUCGGGAGGUGCGGACAGUACUGAAGCAAAGAGAAAAAGUGAAAAAGGUGAUGCAGAAGCCCGGUAUUUCUAAGAAACUCCAAAUUGCAAACGCUUUGAGGAAUUUACGAGAGUUUCGAAUCAGGACCUAUACUGUUUGACGAGUAUCUAGAUUUUCUUAUGUUGAAUAUAGUGUGGAAAUGUUUGAUAUAAGGCACACUUUCAACGUGGGUUGAAAACUGAGCAGGCCAGGCGGGUUCGAGGUCUAGGCUUCAAACGACUUAACCAGCUUUUAAGAUGACUUUUACCAACAUGACAUACAUGUAUUGGAGGCGAGGGUUCACUUUUGUGAAACAAGUCCACUGGUUCUGAAUGGAAGCGUUUUAGAGGAUACUGGUAGCAUCAGGAAUCAUAAUAUUGCAUCACUUCUGGAAAGAGCUCGUGACUGGAAACAAAUACAUGUAUAUUAGAGAGACAAUGGCUGCACUUUUGACGAUUAUGGAGUGCUGAUUGUUUCUAUAUAUAUUUUUUAUAAUUUUGAAAUAUAAUUAUAUUUGUAAUAUUUUCAUCUAUGUAUUUACAUAAAUAUUCAAAUAAAUAUCCUUAGAUUGGUGCUUUAAAUUUUGAAGUUUUGCUUGAGAAAAAUUGUAUAAUGUGAAAACAAUCAGUAGUACUGUGUAAUGUUAUUCUAUAUGCUUAGUUAGAAAUCAGUAUUAAAGAUCAUGUUGGAAAGGUAAUUUCUCAGUGUAACUUCGUAUUGAGUUAACUGCAAAACGUUUGUGAUGUGUUAAAUAAUUGUUAUGGUAUUACGUGAAGCACAGACAAACACGAAUAGAGUUGUAAAUUUGCAUGUGCCUAUAUUUUAAAAUUCUUUUUUCUUUUUUUUUUUUUGCAUUUUAUUUAUUAUUUAUCUACAUUUUUCGGUAAUGAGGGGAGAGUACUUAUAAAGUAAUUUUUAUGUCAUAUCGUCCCAAGUAUAGAUAUAAUUAUCACCAUCUUUGAUAUUUUCUGAUCUGCUAAUUUAUCCGUUAUUAUGUUAAAUAGAUGGUUGCUAUAGUAACCUGUGUACAUUAACUUUCCCAGUACUAGAAUAUACAUGCAAAAAGUUAACGAACCUUGGAGUUGGGCCAUCAAAAAACAGGGCGGCAAAUUUAUCACCUUGAGAGAGUUAUGUCCUCUAU